GGGCGUUUAGCUCAGCUUGGGAGAGCGCUUCCCUUACAAGGAAGAGGUCGGCGGUUCGAGCCCGUCAACGCCCA
rnacentral:tRNA from 2 species